rnacentral:rRNA from 1 species
GACGAAGGUGGCAAGCGUUGUUCGGAAUCACUGGGCUUAAAGAGCACGUAGGCGGACCAUCAAGCACCUUGUGAAAUCCCUCGGCUCAACCGAGGAACGGCUUGGUGGACUGAUGGUCUUGAGGCAGGUAGGGGCGUGGGGAACUCUUGGUGGAGCGGUGAAAUGCGUAGAUAUCAAGAGGAACGCCGGAGACGAAGGUGCCGCGCUGGGCCUGUCCUGACGCUGAGGUGCGAAAGCCAGGGGAG